rnacentral:tRNA from 1 species
CAAAUUAUCUUAAAAGUUAAGAAUUUCAUUUACACUGGAAUUUAUAUUGUGCAAUUCAAUAUAAUUUGA